rnacentral:lncRNA from 12 species
GGCGAGUGUGGGGUUCAAACCGGGAUCUUCGGCAGCGGGCUUUGGAUAGGCACGCAGGGUUGUGCGUAAUCCUUCAGCUCUGGUGGGAAGGGAGAUGCCGUGAGCUCCUGGGGGAGGCGAGGGUUAUUUUGCAAAACUCCCUUAGUGUCGUGCAGCAGAGUACUGCGGGCGGUCGGCGAGGUAGGUGGAGGAGGGAAAGACACGGGAAGGGAAUCGGGGAGAGGCCAGCCCCCGGGGACGCUGUGCCUCGCUCCCCGAAUUGACAGGUGGUGGCCUCAGCAGUUACAACCUACUACCUAGCAUCUCGUCCGUGCAAAAACGAUCACGUUGUUAAUUCCCCGCACCGCGCGGAAGAGCGCAGCGCGGCAGAGCAAGUGCCACGGGCGAGCUGCCUCCCGGGGAGGGGGUAGUGGGGGUACAGAGAAGGGGGGGUUGGAGGGGGGCAGCGGAGGACACCGGAGCUUGGGCGCUUGGCGGCCGUCUGCACCGCGGGGCUGCCCGCCGGUCCGCGCGCGCGCCCCGCAGCCGCCCCCGGCUCGUGCGCCCCUUUCCGGGGCUCCCGGCCCCGCCUCGGCGGCUGCGGGCUCCUCGUCGCCCGCCCGGCUGCACGCGAGCGUCUCCCGCCGGCUCCCGCGCCCGCGGAGCGCUGCACCGACGAGCCGAGCCGGGCGGAGCCGCCGCGCUGCACCAGCGGCGCCUCGGGCAGGAGGAGGGCGGCUUCCGCGGAACAGAGUGUGCUAGUGAUUGAUCUAACCCUGGGAGAUGACUUGACAAUACUUGACAAUACAAAGAGGUUACUCUAAUUGUUUUUCUUUCCCUUCCUUUUCCUUUAAUAAGAAAGGCAGAAAAAGAAUUCCUAUUUUUCUUGCAUGUUGGAAAAGCUCCUCUAAUGUUAAUCAUUCUUACUGAUUUACAAGCUCUUGAUUUUCUGUUGCUUAAAAAUGACAAGUGCAAGCAAACAUUUUUGUGGAACCCAAAAAGACCUUGAAGCUAAUAAAUGCUUUGUAUAAUUUCA